UAGCAGAAGACAGUGACCGCUGUCCGAAUUCCCUUACUAAAAAGGGGUACGGAGAGAGGAAAGUCCGGGCUCCUUCGGAAGGAAUGCCGGUUAAUAACCGGGCGUAAAAUCUGGUAACAGGUUUUACGACAGAUAGUGCAACAGAAAACAAACCGCUCUUUAAGGAGUAAGGGUGAAAAGGUGAGGUAAGAGCUCACCGGGCAUUUGGUAACAAAUGUCGCAUUGCAAACCUCAUUUGGAGCAAAACCAAGCAGUAGCUAAAUCUUCCGAUAAGGAGAACGAAAGUUUUCCAUAGCUACGGGUAGGUUGCUAGAGGUGUAGGGUAAUCUGCACCUUAGAUAGAUGGUCACGCCGAUUUAUCGGUUACAGAACCCGGCUUAGGUCUUCUGCUUUUUU
rnacentral:RNase_P_RNA from 1 species